CGAAUGGGGAAACCCAGUGUGAUUCGUCACACUAUCAUUAACUGAAUCCAUAGGUUAAUGAGGCGAACCGGGGGAACUGAAACAUCUAAGUACCCCGAGGAAAAGAAAUCAACCGAGAUUCCCCCAGUAGCGGCGAGCGAACGGGGAGGAGCCCAGAGCCUGAAUCAGCAUGUGUGUUAGUGGAAGCGUCUGGAAAGGUGCGCGAUACAGGGUGACAGCCCCGUACACAAAAGCGCAUGUGCUGUGAGCUCGAUGAGUAGGGCGGGACACGUGGUAUCCUGUCUGAAUAUGGGGGGACCAUCCUCCAAGGCUAAAUACUCCUGACUGACCGAUAGUGAACCAGUACCGUGAGGGAAAGGCGAAAAGAACCCCGGCGAGGGGAGUGAAAAAGAACCUGAAACCGUGUACGUACAAGCAGUGGGAGCACCCUUCGGGGUGUGACUGCGUACCUUUUGUAUAAUGGGUCAGCGACUUAUAUUCUGUAGCAAGGUUAACCGUAUAGGGGAGCCGUAGGGAAACCGAGUCUUAACCGGGCGUUAAGUUGCAGGGUAUAGACCCGAAACCCGGUGAUCUAGCCAUGGGCAGGUUGAAGGUUGGGUAACACUAACUGGAGGACCGAACCGACUAAUGUUGAAAAAUUAGCGGAUGACCUGUGGCUGGGGGUGAAAGGCCAAUCAAACCGGGAGAUAGCUGGUUCUCCCCGAAAGCUAUUUAGGUAGCGCCUCGUGAAUUCAUCUCCGGGGGUAGAGCACUGUUUCGGCUAGGGGGCCAUCCCGGCUUACCAACCCGAUGCAAACUGCGAAUACCGGAGAAUGUUAUCACGGGAGACACACGGCGGGUGCUAACGUCCGUCGUGAAGAGGGAAACAACCCAGACCGCCAGCUAAGGUCCCAAAGUCAUGGUUAAGUGGGAAACGAUGUGGGAAGGCCCAGACAGCCAGGAUGUUGGCUUAGAAGCAGCCAUCAUUUAAAGAAAGCGUAAUAGCUCACUGGUCGAGUCGGCCUGCGCGGAAGAUGUAACGGGGCUAAACCAUGCACCGAAGCUGCGGCAGCGAACGUAUCACCCAAGACAACUUUACGGAGUUGACGAUUGACGGAGCGAAGCGACGUCAAAGCGUUCAUUAAAGUCGAGUUGGCUUAGGGAUACGUUCGUUGGGUAGGGGAGCGUUCUGUAAGCCUGUGAAGGUGUGUCGUGAGGCAUGCUGGAGGUAUCAGAAGUGCGAAUGCUGACAUAAGUAACGAUAAAGCGGGUGAAAAGCCCGCUCGCCGGAAGACCAAGGGUUCCUGUCCAACGUUAAUCGGGGCAGGGUGAGUCGACCCCUAAGGCGAGGCCGAAAGGCGUAGUCGAUGGGAAACGGGUUAAUAUUCCCGUACUUGGUGUUACUGCGAAGGGGGGACGGAGAAGGCUAUGUUGGCCGGGCGACGGUUGUCCCGGUUUAAGCGUGUAGGUGUGUGUUCCAGGUAAAUCCGGUUCACUUUAACACUGAGGCGUGACGACGAGGCACUACGGUGCUGAAGCAACAAAUGCCCUGCUUCCAGGAAAAGCCUCUAAGCAUCAGGUAACACGAAAUCGUACCCCAAACCGACACAGGUGGUCAGGUAGAGAAUACCAAGGCGCUUGAGAGAACUCGGGUGAAGGAACUAGGCAAAAUGGUGCCGUAACUUCGGGAGAAGGCACGCUGACACGUAGGUGAAGUGAUUUACUCAUGGAGCUGAAGUCAGUCGAAGAUACCAGCUGGCUGCAACUGUUUAUUAAAAACACAGCACUGUGCAAACACGAAAGUGGACGUAUACGGUGUGACGCCUGCCCGGUGCCGGAAGGUUAAUUGAUGGGGUCAGCGCAAGCGAAGCUCCUGAUCGAAGCCCCGGUAAACGGCGGCCGUAACUAUAACGGUCCUAAGGUAGCGAAAUUCCUUGUCGGGUAAGUUCCGACCUGCACGAAUGGCGUAAUGAUGGCCAGGCUGUCUCCACCCGAGACUCAGUGAAAUUGAACUCGCUGUGAAGAUGCAGUGUACCCGCGGCAAGACGGAAAGACCCCGUGAACCUUUACUAUAGCUUGACACUGAACAUUGAGCCUUGAUGUGUAGGAUAGGUGGGAGGCUUUGAAGUGUGGACGCCAGUCUGCAUGGAGCCGACCUUGAAAUACCACCCUUUAAUGUUUGAUGUUCUAACGUGGACCCGUAAUCCGGGUUGCGGACAGUGUCUGGUGGGUAGUUUGACUGGGGCGGUCUCCUCCUAAAGAGUAACGGAGGAGCACGAAGGUUGGCUAAUCCUGGUCGGACAUCAGGAGGUUAGUGCAAUGGCAUAAGCCAGCUUGACUGCGAGCGUGACGGCGCGAGCAGGUGCGAAAGCAGGUCAUAGUGAUCCGGUGGUUCUGAAUGGAAGGGCCAUCGCUCAACGGAUAAAAGGUACUCCGGGGAUAACAGGCUGAUACCGCCCAAGAGUUCAUAUCGACGGCGGUGUUUGGCACCUCGAUGUCGGCUCAUCACAUCCUGGGGCUGAAGUAGGUCCCAAGGGUAUGGCUGUUCGCCAUUUAAAGUGGUACGCGAGCUGGGUUUAGAACGUCGUGAGACAGUUCGGUCCCUAUCUGCCGUGGGCGCUGGAGAACUGAGGGGGGCUGCUCCUAGUACGAGAGGACCGGAGUGGACGCAUCACUGGUGUUCGGGUUGUCAUGCCAAUGGCACUGCCCGGUAGCUAAAUGCGGAAGAGAUAAGUGCUGAAAGCAUCUAAGCACGAAACUUGCCCCGAGAUGAGUUCU
rnacentral:rRNA from 1 species